rnacentral:rRNA from 1 species
AUGGCCUCCAGUGUGCAGCACCCAUGGCUUCUCCUCUUGCUCGUCCUCCUCUCGGCCGUGGCCCCGGCGACGGCAAGGACGCCGGUGUUCGACGACAACUACGUGCCCACAUGGGGUGCAGACGGCUAUCACCUUAGGUCCGGCGCCGGGUUCUGCUCCAAGUCGACGUAUGGCUCGGGGUUCUUCCGCAUGAGGAUGAAGGUACCCGGAGGGUACACGCCCGGAGUCGUCACAGCUUUCUUUCUAAUGUCAGUACCACCUCAGAGCAGUGACCGCGACGAGGUGGACUUCGAGUUCCUGGGCAACGUGGACGGCCAGCCCAUCACCCUCCAGACCAACGUCUUCGUCAACGGCCACGGCAACAGGGAGCAGAGGCUGAAGCUGUGGAUAUUCGUGGACGAUGUGCCGAUACGGGUGCUGAGGAACCUCACGGGCCGUGUGCCGGAGUACGAGUUCCCGGCGAAGCGGAUGGGCAUCUGGGCGAGCCUGUGGAACGGCUCCGACUGGGCGACGGACCGCGGCAGGAUCAAGAUCGACUGGAACCGCGCGCCCUUCACCGCGGGGUACCAGGGCUUCAACGUCGACGCCUGCGCCAACACCAGCUCGACGCCGUGCCACUCGACGGACUGGUGGUGGAACGCCCGCCGGUACAGGAGGCUGUCCGCCCGGCAGCGGGCGGCCUACGAGAACGUCAAGAAGACGUACAUGUACUACGACUACUGCGCUGACAAAGAUCGGUUCAAGAACACCACGAUGCCGGUUGAGUGCAGCCACACUACUACUUAG